rnacentral:ncRNA from 1 species
ACGAUAGAGGCGCGGAACCUAUGAGUAAUUUUCUGAGGGACACCUGGGAGGGAAAUGAAAGGACAACCGCCGAAGCUGUUUUCUGGGUGCAGGAAAUGGCUGGGAUGCAAGUGAAUAAUUUGCAUACUGUCGCCGUGUCAACGGUGGAGAGCUAUCUGG